rnacentral:rRNA from 1 species
UACAGAGGUCUCAAGCGUUGUUCGGAUUCAUUGGGCGUAAAGCGCGCGUAGGCGGCCCGGUAAGUCCGCUGUGAAAGUCAAAGGCUCAACCUUUGAAUGCCGGUGGAUACUGUCGGGCUAGAGUCCGGAAGAGGCGAGUGGAAUUCCUGGUGUAGCGGUGGAAUGCGCAGAUAUCAGGAGGAACACCAAUAGCGAAGGCAGCUCGCUGGGACGGUACUGACGCUAAGGCGCGAAAGCGUGGGGAGCGAACAGG